rnacentral:rRNA from 1 species
CAGCAGCCGCGGGAAUACGAAGAGGGCUAGCGUUAAUCGGAAUUACUGGGCGUAAAGCGUGCGUAGGCGGUUCGUUAAGUCUGUUGUGAAAGCCCCGGGCUCGACCUGGGAAUGGCAAUGGAUACUGGCGAGCUAGAGUGUGUCAGAGGAUGGUGGAAUUCCCGGUGUAGCGGUGAAAUGCGUAGAGAUCGGGAGGAACAUCAGUGGCGAAGGCGGCCAUCUGGGACAACACUGGCGCUGAGGCACGAAAGCGUGGGGAGCAAACAGGAUUAGAUACCCCAGUAGUCCCUGUCUCUUAUAA